rnacentral:rRNA from 1 species
AUUCUGGCUCAGGAUGAACGCUGGCGGCGUGCUUAACACAUGCAAGUCGAACGGGAUCCAUCAGGCUUUGCUUGGUGGUGAGAGUGGCGAACGGGUGAGUAAUGCGUGACCGACCUGCCCCAUACACCGGAAUAGCUCCUGGAAACGGGUGGUAAUGCCGGAUGCUCCGACUCCUCGCAUGGGGUGUCGGGAAAGAUUUCAUCGGUAUGGGAUGGGGUCGCGUCCUAUCAGGUAGUCGGCGGGGUAACGGCCCACCGAGCCUACGACGGGUAGCCGGCCUGAGAGGGCGACCGGCCACAUUGGGACUGAGAUACGGCCCAGACUCCUACGGGAGGCAGCAGUGGGGAAUAUUGCACAAUGGGCGCAAGCCUGAUGCAGCGACGCCGCGUGCGGGAUGACGGCCUUCGGGUUGUAAACCGCUUUUGAUCGGGAGCAAGCCUUCGGGUGAGUGUACCUUUCGAAUAAGCACCGGCUAACUACGUGCCAGCAGCCGCGGUAAUACGUAGGGUGCAAGCGUUAUCCGGAAUUAUUGGGCGUAAAGGGCUCGUAGGCGGUUCGUCGCGUCCGGUGUGAAAGUCCAUCGCUUAACGGUGGAUCUGCGCCGGGUACGGGCGGGCUGGAGUGCGGUAGGGGAGACUGGAAUUCCCGGUGUAACGGUGGAAUGUGUAGAUAUCGGGAAGAACACCAAUGGCGAAGGCAGGUCUCUGGGCCGUUACUGACGCUGAGGAGCGAAAGCGUGGGGAGCGAACAGGAUUAGAUACCCUGGUAGUCCACGCCGUAAACGGUGGAUGCUGGAUGUGGGGCCCGUUCCACGGGUUCCGUGUCGGAGCUAACGCGUUAAGCAUCCCGCCUGGGGAGUACGGCCGCAAGGCUAAAACUCAAAGAAAUUGACGGGGGCCCGCACAAGCGGCGGAGCAUGCGGAUUAAUUCGAUGCAACGCGAAGAACCUUACCUGGGCUUGACAUGUUCCCGACAGCCGUAGAGAUACGGUUUCCCUUCGGGGCGGGUUCACAGGUGGUGCAUGGUCGUCGUCAGCUCGUGUCGUGAGAUGUUGGGUUAAGUCCCGCAACGAGCGCAACCCUCGCCCUGUGUUGCCAGCACGUCAUGGUGGGAACUCACGGGGGACCGCCGGGGUCAACUCGGAGGAAGGUGGGGAUGACGUCAGAUCAUCAUGCCCCUUACGUCCAGGGCUUCACGCAUGCUACAAUGGCCGGUACAACGGGAUGCGACACGGCGACGUGGAGCGGAUCCCUGAAAACCGGUCUCAGUUCGGAUUGGAGUCUGCAACCCGACUCCAUGAAGGCGGAGUCGCUAGUAAUCGCGGAUCAGCAACGCCGCGGUGAAUGCGUUCCCGGGCCUUGUACACACCGCCCGUCAAGUCAUGAAAGUGGGUAGCACCCGAAGCCGGUGGCCUAACCCUUUGUGGAUGGAGCCGUCUAAGGUGAGACUCGUGAUUGGGACUAAGUCGUAACAAGGUAGCCGUACCGGAAGGUGCGGCUG